GCCACCGAAAGGUGGUCUAAUACCUUAUAGUAUCCAUCUCGUAUGGAUUAAAGCUUUAUGCGCUUUGGGAGGGGCCUGCGUUUGAUUAGCUAGUUGGUGAGGUAAAAGCUCACCAAGGGCGACGAUCAAUAGCUGGUUUGAGAGGAUGACCAGCCACACUGGGACUGAGAUACGGCCCAGACUCCUACGGGAGGCAGCAGUAAGGAAUCUUCCACAAUGGGGGCAACCCUGAUGGAGCAAUACCGCGUGCGGGAUGAAGCGUUUCGGCGUGUAAACUGCUUUUAUCACCGAAGAUUAUGACUGUAGGUGAAGAAUAAGGACCGGCUAACUACGUG
rnacentral:rRNA from 1 species